rnacentral:rRNA from 1 species
UACAGGGGGGGCAAGCGUUGUUCGGAAUUACUGGGCGUAAAGGGCCAGUAGGCGGCCAACUAAGUCCGACGUGAAAUCCCCAGGCUUAACCUGGGAACUGCGUCGGAUACUGGAUGGCUUGAAUUCGGGAGAGGGAUGCAGAAUUCCAGGUGUAGCGGUGAAAUGCGUAGAUAUCGUAAGGAAGGCCGGUGGCGAAAGCGAGCCUCUGGACAGUUACUGACGCUGAUGCACGAAGGCCAGGGGAGCAAACGGG